rnacentral:rRNA from 1 species
UGGGGAAUAUUGCACAAUGGGCGCAAGCCUGAUGCAGCCAUGCCGCGUGUGUGAAGAAGGCCUUCGGGUUGUAAAGCACUUUCAGCGGGGAGGAAGGCGAUAAGGUUAAUACCUUUGCGCAUUGACGUUACCCGCAGAAGAAGCACCGGCUAACUCCGUGCCAGCAGCCGCGGUAAUACGGAGGGUGCAAGCGUUAAUCGGAAUUACUGGGCGUAAUGCGCACGCAGGCGGUUUGUUAAGUCAGAUGUGAAAUCCCCGGGCUCAACCUGGGACCUGCAUCUGAUACUGGCAAGCUUGAGUCUCGUAGAGGGGGGUAGAAUUCCAGGUGUAGCGGUGAAAUGCGUCGAGAUCUGGAGGAAUACCGGUGGCGAAGGCGGCCCCCUGGACGAAGACUGACGCUCAGGUGCGAAAGCGUGGGGAGCAAACAGG